rnacentral:rRNA from 1 species
UUCGCAAUGCCCGAAAGGGUGACGAUGCGACGCCGCGUGAGCGAAGAAGGCCCUAGGGUUGUAAAGCUCUGUCGAGGGUUAUGAAAUAUAGAUGGGUUAAUACCCCAUUUAUUUGACAAAAGCCCAAAAGGAAGCCACGGCUAACUCUGCGCCAGCAGCCGCGGUAAUACAGAGGUGGCGAGCGUUGUUCGGUAUUAUUGGGCGUAAAGAGCACGUAGGUGGUUUUGUAAGUCAGGUGUGAAAGCCUUCUGUUCAAAGGAAGAACGGCAUCUGAAACUGCAGAUCUUGAGUGUAGGAGGGGAGAGUGGAACUUCUGGUGGAGCGGUGAAAUGCGUAGAUAUCAGAAGGAACGUCGGCGGCGAAAGCGACUCUCUGGCCUAUUACUGACACUGAGGUGCGAAAGUUAGGGGAGCAAACGGGAUUAGAUACCCCGGUAGUCCUAACCGUAAACGAUGGGCACUAAGUAGAGGGGUUUU